UACGAAGGGGGCUAGCGUUGCUCGGAAUCACUGGGCGUAAGGGUGCGUAGGCGGGUCUUUAAGUCAGGGGUGAAAUCCUGGAGCUCAACUCCAGAACUGCCUUUGAUACUGAGAGCUUGAGUCCGGGAGAGGUGAGUGGAACUGCGAGUGUAGAGGUGAAAUUCGUAGAUAUUCGCAAGAACACCAGUGGCGAAGGCGGCUCACUGGCCCGGUACUGACGCUGAGGUGCGAAAGCGUGGGGAGCAAACAGG
rnacentral:rRNA from 1 species